UGGUAACCAAUGUUUCAAUGGCUGGUAAUUUAAUAAACACUUUCUGGUCACUGAAAAUGAGGACAACUAAUGACAUGCAUGAUACACAUUCAAGAGAAGAACCCAAGGCUGAGAGAAAGUGACUGCAUUAGAAUCCCUUUUAGGCAAAUGAAUUUUACAUGGAAGUUCUAAAGAAUAGAAAUAUGCUGAACAAAGAAAAGGAACAUCUUGAGGCAAGUCACAAAAAGAAAAACUAAUAAGGAUUAAACAUUUUUCACACUUUGUUCAAAAGUGCAUAUUUUGAUUUUGUUCUCACUUAAGUAAUGCUAAAUUAUAGUAUGAAGCCCACGUUAGUAACUACUCUUCAAUAGCCACAUUAUCCAGGAUUACUGGCAUUAAAUACUAAAUUAGCAUUAGCUGACUGCUAUUGUUUAUAAAUUAAUUUUUUUUCUGUUUCUGUGAGUUCUGUGAAUUACAUUGUGUAAUCUCUUGUCUCUCAAGGGAGAGAGUGUUACAGUGAACAUAGCUGUGGCCUAGAAACUGAAGACAGCAUCAAAAUGUG
rnacentral:lncRNA from 1 species